CGGGUGGCAGCAGUGGGGAAUAUUGGGCAAUGGACGAAAGUCUGACCCAGCGACGCCGCGUGCGGGAUGAAGGCCUUCGGGUUGUAAACCGCUUUCAGCAGGGAAGAAGCGAAAGUGACGGUACCUGCAGAAGAAGCACCGGCUAACUAUGUGCCAGCAGCCGCGGUAAUACAUAGGGUGCAAGCGUUGUCCGGAAUUAUUGGGCGUAAAGAGCUCGUAGGUGGUUAGUUACGUCGGACGUGAAAAUCUAGGGCUCAACCCUAGACCUGCGUCCGAUACGGGCUAGCUUGAGUUUGGUAGGGGAGACUGGAAUUCCUGGUGUAGCGGUGGAAUGCGCAGAUAUCAGGAGGAACACCAAUGGCGAAGGCAGGUCUCUGGGCCAAUACUGACACUGAGGAGCGAAAGUGUGGGGAGCGAACAGGAUUAGAUACCCCCGU
rnacentral:rRNA from 1 species